rnacentral:rRNA from 1 species
UACAGAGGUCUCAAGCGUUGUUCGGAUUCAUUGGGCGUAAAGGGCGCGUAGGCGGCGGGGUAAGUCGGGUGUGAAAUCUCAGAGCUCAACUCUGAAACUGCACUCGAUACUGCUCUGCUUGAGGACUGGAGAGGAGACUGGAAUUCACGGUGUAGCAGUGAAAUGCGUAGAUAUCGUGAGGAAGACCAGUGGCGAAGGCGGGUCUCUGGACAGUAACUGACGCUGAGGAGCGAAAGCGUGGGGAGCGAACAGG